rnacentral:lncRNA from 1 species
CCAUUUCUAUUCUUCAGAGGUACUGAGAAAACAAAUCUCUCUGCCAUUCAGUUUGAUUCCCCUUCCCCCUCUCCACACACCAACAAGCCCUCUGCCCAGGCUGGUCGCCUAACAGACAUGUACCAGGGAGUGUGGGAUUUCCACUGACAAGGGGCCAUGAGCAAAGGCACACUGCCCUGUGUCAGGGGCACCUGUGGGUUUAUGGAUCUCUUUCUUGCCCUGCAGCCCUCUCCUGACCACCCCAGGAAUUCAGCUCCAGCCUAGAAGAGGGCCUGCACCAUCUAGUCUCCUGCUGCUGCUGCCUCGCGUGUUGCCAUGGCAAUCCCUGUGGCUGCCCGGGAUACCCAUUGCUGCUCCAGAAUUCUCUGCUUAGGCAGGGCAGCUCUCCUACAGCACGUGUGAGACACCGCCCUUUGCCAUGGUAUGAUCACCAGUAUGGAGCCUGGAAAGCCUGACACUGGCCUCUCCUUUCCAGUUCUGAAAGGGAGCCACUGUAGAGCUACUGGCAGAUCUACACAACUCAAGAUGCAGCUCACCCCUCUGUCUCAGGUUUCAGGACAACACCUGAGACUCUUCUUUUUCCUGCCCCUGAGGACACACAGACACCGUGGCAACCGCACUAAGCCCAGGGGUGAUGUGUUUUCCUACAUGGAGUUUCACCCACCCAUGCAGGAGUCCACCAUUGACCAUCUUCAUUGUAAGCCACCCUGCCCCCAACCAGCACUAUGCUCAAAGCCAAAAGAAACAACCAAACAUGAAAUUCUGGUGAAAACCACUUUUGAAAUUCCACAUGCCCUUGAAUGUUAA